rnacentral:misc_RNA from 1 species
UUAAGUUCAGCGGGUAAUCCUACCUGAUUUGAGGUCAAACUUAAAAGAACACUGUUCGCCAUGGUGCAACGUAGUAAAAGCACUACACUCACUGCAGAACUCCCCGCUAACCGUCUUCGAAGUUGGUAGAACCUAAUACGAAGAUGUCCAGCAGGACGUCCCUUAACGCAGCAAGCGCUCUCCCCGAAAGGAGACACUCA